rnacentral:rRNA from 1 species
CCUACGGGUGGCAGCAGUGAGGAAUAUUGGUCAAUGGACGCAAGUCUGAACCAGCCAUGCCGCGUGCAGGAAGACGGCUCUAUGAGUUGUAAACUGCUUUUGUACGAGGGUAAACGCAGAUACGCGUAUCUGUAUGAAAGUAUCGUACGAAUAAGGAUCGGCUAACUCCGUGCCAGCAGCCGCGGUAAUACGGAGGAUUCAAGCGUUAUCCGGAUUUAUUGGGUUUAAAGGGUGCGUAGACGGUCGGCUAAGUUAGAUGUGAAAUCCCGAGGCUCAACUUUGGAAUUGCCUCUGAUACUGGUCGGCUAGAGAGUAGUUGCGGUAGGCGGAAUGUAUGGUGUAGCGGUGAAAUGCUUAGAGAUCAUAAAGAACACCGAUUGCGAAGGCAGCUUACUAAGCUACUUCUGACGUUGAGGCACGAAAGCGUGGGUAGCAAACAGGAUUAGAUACCCUGGUAGUC